CAGACUUUCCCACCUGUCACCUGACUCCCACAUCCACCUGCUCAGCUGUUCUUCAUUUCCCAAUUAUCCCUCAGAGUAUUCAUACUGGCCCAGCACCACAUGCUCAUUGGAAGAUUGUCAGUGUUGCCUGAAACCUGCAUCUGCUGCCAGGCUGAUUACUGGGAACUAUGGUGAAAUAUGGAGGGGACACAGAUGGAUGAAAACCCUAAACAUUUUGGGACAAGAUGCACAAUGGAAAUGAUUCAAGAGGAGUCUGCCUCUGCUGCAGAAUCAGGCUGAUUACUGGGAACUAUGGUGAAAUAUGGAGGGGACACAGAUGGAUGAAAACCCUAAACAUUUUGGGACAAGAUGCACAAUGGAAAUGAUUCAAGAGGAGUCUGCCUCUGCUGCAGAAUCAGUAAAUACAAUAUUGGAUGAAAAUAACUCAUAAGUGGAAAUGUUUUUCUCUGCGUUUGUAACUUUUAAAUUGAUC